rnacentral:sRNA from 1 species
CAUAGUGGUGCGACUUUAUUGUGCAUAGUGGUGCG